rnacentral:rRNA from 1 species
GUAGGGGGCAAGCGUUGUCCGGAAUCAUUGGGCGUAAAGCGCGUGUAGGCGGCCCGGUAAGUCCGCUGUGAAAGUCCAGGGCUCAACCCUGGGAUGCCGGUGGAUACUGUCGGGCUCGAGUCCGGAAGAGGCGAGUGGAAUUCCUGGUGUAGCGGUGAAAUGCGCAGAUAUCAGGAGGAACACCGGUGGCGAAGGCGGGUCUCUGGGCAGUAACUGACGCUGAGGAGCGA